rnacentral:rRNA from 1 species
UGGGGAAUUUUGGACAAUGGGGGAAACCCUGAUCCAGCCAUCCCGCGUGUGCGAUGAAGGCCUUCGGGUUGUAAAGCACUUUUGGCAGGAAAGAAACGUCAUGGGUUAAUACCCCGUGAAACUGACGGUACCUGCAGAAUAAGCACCGGCUAACUACGUGCCAGCAGCCGCGGUAAUACGUAGGGUGCAAGCGUUAAUCGGAAUUACUGGGCGUAAAGCGUGCGCAGGCGGUUCGGAAAGAAAGAUGUGAAAUCCCAGAGCUCAACUUUGGAACUGCAUUUUUAACUACCGGGCUAGAGUGUGUCAGAGGGAGGUGGAUUUCCGCGUGUAGCAGUGAAAUGCGUAGAUAUGCGGAGGAACACCGAUGGCGAAGGCAGCCUCCUGGGAUAACACUGACGCUCAUGCACGAAAGCGUGGGGAGCAAACAGG